UACGAAGGGGGCUAGCGUUGUCCGGAUUUAUUGGGCGUAAAGAGCGUGUAGGCGGCCAUGUAGGUCCGGUGUGAAAACUCGAGGCUUAACCUCGAGAUGUCAUCGGAAACCAUUUGGCUAGAGUCCGGAAGAGGAGAGUGGAAUUCCUGGUGUAGCGGUGAAAUGCGCAGAUAUCAGGAAGAACACCAAUGGCGAAAGCAGCUCUCUGGGACGGUACUGACGCUGAGACGCGAAAGCGUGGGGAGCGAACAGG
rnacentral:rRNA from 1 species